GCAGGCGCGAAAACUUUGCAAUAAGCGAAAGCUUGACAGGGCUAUCCCGAGCGCCAUCCGCUGAGGAAGGCUUUUACCCAGUCUAGAACGCUGGGGGAAUAAGGAGAGGGCAAGUCUGGUGUCAGCCGCCGCGGUAAUACCAGCUCUCCGAGUGGUGUGGAUGUUUAUUGGGCCUAAAGCAUCCGUAGCUGGCUAGGUUAGUCCCCUGUUAAAUCCACCGAAUUAAUCGUUGGAUUGCGGGGGAUACUGCUUGGCUAGGGGACGAGAGAGGCAGACGGUAUUUCCGGGGUAGGGGUGAAAUCCUAUAAUCCCGGGAAGACCACCAGUGGCGAAGGCUGUCUGCUAGAACGCGCCCGACGGUGAGGGAUGAAAGCUGGGGGAGCGAACCGGAUUAGAUACCCGGGUAGUCCCAGCUGUAAACGAUGCAGACUAGGUGUUUGAACGGCCACGUGCCGUUCUAGUGCCGCAGGGAAGCUGUUAAGUCUGCCGCCUGGGGAGUACGAUCGCAAGAUUGAAACUUAAAGGAAUUGGCGGGGGAGCAC
rnacentral:rRNA from 1 species